GGAAGAGCGAUGCCCCCGGUGGGGCACCUGGUCUUCAAAACCAGUGAGGUGUCUUUGAGAUGCCUGGUGGGUUCGACUCCUACCUCUUCCGCCA
rnacentral:tRNA from 1 species